GCCGCGUGUGUGAAGAAGGCUUUCGGGUUGUAAAGCACUUUCAGCGAGGAAGAAAGCCUCUGGGUUAAUACCCCAGAGGAAGGACAUCACUCGCAGAAGAAGCACCGGCUAACUCCGUGCCAGCAGCCGCGGUAAUACGGAGGGUGCGAGCGUUAAUCGGAAUUACUGGGCGUAAAGCGCGCGUAGGUGGCUUGGCACGCCGGUUGUGAAAGCCCCGGGCUCAACCUGGGAACGGCAUCCGGAACGGCCAGGCUAGAGUGCAGGAGAGGAAGGUAGAAUUCCCGGUGUAGCGGUGAAAUGCGUAGAGAUCGGGAGGAAUACCAGUGGCGAAGGCGGCCUUCUGGCCUGACACUGACACUGAGGUGCGAAAGCGUGGGUAGCAAACAGGAUUAGAUACCCUGGUAGUCCACGCCGUAAACGAUGUCGACUAGCCGUUGGGACCUUUAAGGACUUAGUGGCGCAGUUAACGCGAUAAGUCGACCGCCUGGGGAGUACGGCCGCAAGGUUAAAACUCAAAUGAAUUGACGGGGGCCCGCACAAGCGGUGGAGCAUGUGGUUUAAUUCGAUGCAACGCGAAGAACCUUACCUACCCUUGACAUCCAGAGAAGUUGGCAGAGAUGCCUUCGUGCCUUCGGGAACUCUGAGACAGGUGCUGCAUGGCUGUCGUCAGCUCGUGUUGUG
rnacentral:rRNA from 1 species